rnacentral:rRNA from 1 species
AUGACCAUUAGCUGCAGGCUCGUGGCGGUCGCCGUGGCGCUGGCGCUGGCGGCGGCGCUCCUGUCGUCAUCGCCACUGCGCGGCGACGUGCGGGCGGUGGUGGAGAUACGCGACGUGGAGCUGAUCCCCGUGGACGGCGGCGCCGCGGGGCCGGAGAGCGUGGCGUUCGGCGUGGGCGGCGAGGGCCCCUACGCGGGCGUGUCGGACGGGAGGGUCAUCCGGUGGCUCCCGGAGGAGGGCCGCUGGGUCGAGCACUCCUCCGCCGCCGCGCCAGAGCUAUUGGAUAGUUGCAGAGGAUCCCAGGACCCGAUGAAGGAGCACGAGUGUGGGCGCCCGCUGGGCCUCAAGUUCAACAACAAAACUGGGGAGUUGUACGUCGCAGAUUCCUAUUUUGGGCUGAGAGUGGUCAGCCCCGGGGAUAACGUUUCAAGGCUGAUUGGGCCUGGACAGCCUGGGAGACCCUAUAGCUUCGCCAACGGCGUCGAGAUCGACCAGGAAACUGGAGUUGUCUACUUCACCGAGACCAGCACGAGGUUCCAGAGAAGGCAGUUCUUGAACAUUGUCAUAUCCGGUGACGCCACUGGCAGAUUGCUCAAAUAUGACCCUAACACCAACGAGGUUCAAGUCUUGGUCGACGGCCUGGCAUUCCCCAACGGCCUUCUCAUGAGUGAAGGCGGAUCCCACCUUCUCCUCGCCGAGACCACAACCUGCAUGAUCCACCGAUACUGGCUCAAGACACCCAAGGCCUCAACCCUCGAGGAACUCGUGCAGCUACCGGGCUUCCCAGACAACAUCAAGGCGAGCCCGAGAGGCGGCUUCUGGGUCGGCCUCCAUGGCAAGCGAGGUAAGAUCGCCGAGUGGUCCACCUCUUUCCCGUGGUUGAGGAGGUUGGUCAUGAAGCUGCCACCCCAGCGCGUGCAGCGUGUCAUGGCGUUCCUGAGCCGGUUUGGAAGUCAGGUGAUUGCGUUGAGGGUCAGCGAGGAGGGGAAGGUGUUGGAAGAGGUAAUCGUGCACGACGCGGCGAGGAAGAUGUUUGGAUCCAUCAGUGAACUGGAGGAAAGGGACGGGCGCUUGUGGAUUGGCUCGGUUCAUUUGCCUUUUCUUGGGCAUUACUGCCUAUAG